UACGGAGGGUGCAAGCGUUAUCCGGAUUUACUGGGUUUAAAGGGUGUGUAGGCGGACUUUUAAGUCAGCGGUGAAAUCUCCGGGCUCAACCCGGAAACUGCCAUUGAUACUAUUAGUCUUGAAUAUUGUUGAGGUAGGCGGAACGGGUCAUGUAGCGGUGAAAUGCAUAGAUAUGACCCGGAACACCGAUUGCGAAGGCAGCCUACUAAGCAAUUAUUGACGCUGAGGCACGAAAGCGUGGGGAAUCAAACAGGAGUUAG
rnacentral:rRNA from 1 species